GAUGAACGCUGGCGGCGUGCCUAAUACAUGCAAGUCGAGCGAACAGACGAGGAGCUUGCUCCUCUGACGUUAGCGGCGGACGGGUGAGUAACACGUGGAUAACCUACCUAUAAGACUGGGAUAACUUCGGGAAACCGGAGCUAAUACCGGAUAAUAUAUUGUACCGCAUGGUUCAAUAGUGAAAGACGGUUUUGCUGUCACUUAUAGAUGGAUCCGCGCCGCAUUAGCUAGUUGGUAAGGUAACGGCUUACCAAGGCAACGAUGCGUAGCCGACCUGAGAGGUUGAUCGGCCACACUGGAACUGAGACACGGUCCAGACUCCUACGGGAGGCAGCAGUAGGGAAUCUUCCGCAAUGGGCGAAAUCUUGACGGAGCAACGCCGCGUGAGUGAGGAAGGUCUUCGGAUCGUAAAACUCUGUUAUUAGGGAAGAACAAAUGUGUAAGUAACUAUGCACGUCUUGACGGUACCUAAUCAGAAAGCCACGGCUAACUACGUG
rnacentral:rRNA from 1 species